ensembl:lncRNA
CCAAAAUCCCACUCAUCAUUCAGGAAAACAUACAUCACAGCUGGCGUCUGUAGCCAGAACCAACACGAUCCAUCCGCCUGGGACUCCACUUCACGGGAUUGGCUGGACCUCCGCCCAGGGUCAAAGGUGUGGGAAGGACAUCUCCAGACUGGAGAUGAUGGAGACCGAGAGAGACCAAGAUGGAGACCCAGUAAUGAUGAUGAAGCUGUAAGGUGGUGGAAACAGGUGAUCCUGCUGGCUGGGCCAAGCCUCCACAUUCAAAAAGAAUUGGACUGUUCCCAGGCUCUCUCAUGCAUCUCUAAGCUCUCCAACACAGGACAAUUUACUGGCUGGGAGCAGCAUAGCCAAGGACCAAGAGCUGGGCCCACCCCUCUGACCCGAGUCAUCAAUGUCCACCCAGCGUACAGAGUGAGAAGCCUCCUGAGUGUUCGAUCGUGGGGCAGGAGUUUCCAAUACCUGCUUGCCUGGGAGGGUUAUGGCCCGGAGUAGGGGUGCUGGGUCCCCGCUAGAGACAUCCUGGACCCAGCCCUCAUCGCCGACUUCCACCGCAGGGCAACCCGGUCAACCAG